UGUGUGUGUGUGUGUAUGGGGGAAGUGAGAGGUGCGAUGUCUGUUAGAAAGCGAUCACAAGAGCUGAGUUGUGCAUCAGUGGAGGAUGGAGUUUCCACUGAGGACUAUGUUGCUUCUCUCUCUGGGGCCGCUGCUGGCUCAGGAAACCAUUAUAGAGGGGGAUAUAAAGGUGUAUCAGACGGCGGAUUUGGAGAUCGUCGAGGGAGACAGCACCACACUCCAUUGUUACUGGAGAGCCAACAGCGAACAAAAGUUUAAAGUAAACUGGAAAGAAUCUGAAAUUCAACCUCUUCACCAUCCGACAGCCGUAAGGUAUGAUGGAGAGGGCUGUGGUUCUACCCUUUCACCUGUGAACAACGGUGCCUGCGGCUGGGCCACCCUGACCCUUCCCAACGUCACCCUCAACCGCGCUGGGCGCUACGUCUGCCAGGUGACCAUGGAGAGACCCACGUAUAAUCAGUUUUGGGGAAGCGGCACGAUGAUCACCGUCACGGAACGACAGAGCCCCACCAACGGCACAACACAAGAAAGACGUCUGGAGCCGUCCCUUGCCAGGGGGGGGUAUUGUCAUGGUCCGCCCCUGGUUUUCCCAUUCACCUGCCUGCCACCCUGAUCUCCCCUGAUUAACCCAACCACCUUCACCUGUGCUCCCCCUAUAACAGUCCUCUCCUUUCACUCAGGCCUUGCCAGAUUGUCUCUUGUUUCAUUGAGGGCUUUCCCGCAACUCCUGAUUGCUUCGUCUACUCCACUCUGCCUGUUAACGAACCCUCGCCUGUCUGACCUUCUGCCUGCCGUCCAGUCCCUGUCGGUCUGUCUGCUCCUCUGUCCCCGUCUCCUGAUCCACCUGCCUGACUUCCUGUUAUCGACCCUUCGCCUGCCUGACCUCCCGCCCGACGUCGAGUCCCUGUAGGUCUGUCUGCUCUUCAGUUCCCGACUCGUGAUCCGCUCUUCUGCCCUCCCGUUGCCGACUCCUCGCCUGCUGACCCACCGACAAUUCCCUGCCCACCGACUUGUCUAAACGCACGCCACUGCCAUUCCCCGUUGUCGUUUCGAUGGCAACAGUAAUGGCCGCCGCGUUCCUCGUCACUCUGAUAUGUCUGUGGAAGCUGCGGAAGAGACAAGGGUUGGACCGAGCAGCAAGGGUGAUCUGUGAGGUUCCCCACAGAGACUCUGAGGUGGACGGAACCAGCACCAGCUCGUCCAAAGGGUCCUCCCAGUGGUGUCAGGUACCCGUGUAUGAGUCCUUCGACUACUUUGAGUGUGUGGUGGAAAGCAAGGGCAGUGGAUGAAGGAGUCUCAAUCUGUUGUUUCCAUUGUUGGUUUUGGAAAUAUCUCUGAUACGUUCUGUCCUCUUCUGUUUCCAUCCAAGUUGUUUUUAAAUAAGCUAAUUGAAAGUCAUACAUUUACUGUGAAAUAGCAAUGAAGCCCUAUUAGAUGUAAUUGAUGAUGAGUGAUGAUUGUAUCUCAUUGUGAAUAAACAAUUUUAAUAUAGUAAA